GUGGGGAAUCUUGCGCAAUGGGCGAAAGCCUGACGCAGCCAUGCCGCGUGAAUGAUGAAGGUCUUAGGAUUGUAAAAUUCUUUCACCGGGGACGAUAAUGACGGUACCCGGAGAAGAAGCUCCGGCUAACUUCGUGCCAGCAGCCGCGGUAAUACGAAGGGGGCUAGCGUUGCUCGGAAUUACUGGGCGUAAAGGGCGCGUAGGCGGACAGCUUAGUCAGAGGUGAAAGCCCAGGGCUCAACCUUGGAAUUGCCUUUGAGACUGGCUGUCUUGAGUUUGGGAGAGGUGAGUGGAACUCCGGGUGGAGAGGUGAAAUUCGUAGAUAUUCGGAAGAACACCAGUGGCGAAGGCGACUCACUGGCCCAAUACUGACGCUGAGGCGCGAAAGCGUGGGGAGCAAACAGGAUUAGAUACCCCUGUAGUCC
rnacentral:rRNA from 1 species